GAUGAACGCUGGCGGCGUGCCUAAUACAUGCAAGUCGAGCGAACGGACGAGAAGCUUGCUUCUCUGAUGUUAGCGGCGGACGGGUGAGUAACACGUGGAUAACCUACCUAUAAGACUGGGAUAACUUCGGGAAACCGGAGCUAAUACCGGAUAAUAUUUUGAACCGCAUGGUUCAAUAGUGAAAGACGGUCUUGCUGUCACUUAUAGAUGGAUCCGCGCUGCAUUAGCUAGUUGGUAAGGUAACGGCUUACCAAGGCAACGAUGCGUAGCCGACCUGAGAGGGUGAUCGGCCACACUGGAACUGAGACACGGUCCAGACUCCUACGGGAGGCAGCAGUAGGGAAUCUUCCGCAAUGGGCGAAAGCCUGACGGAGCAACGCCGCGUGAGUGAUGAAGGUCUUCGGAUCGUAAAACUCUGUUAUUAGGGAAGAACAUAUGUGUAAGUAACUGUGCACAUCUUGACGGUACCUAAUCAGAAAGCCACGGCUAACUACGUG
rnacentral:rRNA from 1 species